rnacentral:lncRNA from 1 species
AAAUUCCUCAUACCAAACUGCUUUUAUGGAAAACUUAAGGAGAUUAGAGCGUUUGCCAUGGGUGUUGAUCAACCACUGUGUCCUCAUCAAGUCACAAGGGUUUCACAGGAGGAUUAUUAAGGGGUUGGAUCUUCUCACACACGCCACUUGACAAUGUCCUCAGUAUUGAGCAGUUUGUUUCCAGAAGAGGAUUAAAGUCCAGCUGUGAAUCGCUGCAUGUGGUUAUUGUUCGGUACUGAGUGUAGUUCCCUGUUCAUAUCGCCUCUUAAUAUAAGCGUGUACUUUCAUACUCCCCGUCUCCAACCUGUUGUCUUUCUAUGUUGUCUCCUUGCAGUGGCUGAGUUGAGUAUUGUUUCAUGGUUACUUGUUCUCCCCCUUGUUCCUAAAAUCCACCCCCAUUCCACCCUAGCCUUUCUAAUGCAUUUAAUAAUAUGUUCCUAUAUAUGCGUGACUCCUUCAACAUACAGUGGAGUGUAUUCCAAAUUACGUAAGUGGCGCCACAUUGUGGAUCUCAGUCUUUCCACUCAGUGCUUGUUUAAGAUGUAUGCGCAGCUGCGUGGAUAUAUCUUAUUCCUGGCAUAUAACUGCAGCCUGGUGUUCUAGAGUAUUUUCUUAUCUGAUCCCCAAGUGAUUCUCACUGUAUCAGUUAAGGUAAUAUGAGUUAAUGGACCAAACACGAUGAAUUUAUUAUUAGCAAUAAAAAUUUCUCCUGCAAGCAGGCACCUCUCUCCUAAGGCAGGGCUCUGAGGAUCCAGGCAACGAUCUUUGUAGCUCUGUUAUCUUCAGACCAAGGUUACCAAGGCUGCCAAGGUUUCUGGUAAUGAGGAAGGGGAGAGAGGACUAAGGAUUUCACUGGAGGAUUAUCUGGGUCAUGCCUAGAGCAGUGCAGUCACCUCUGUUAAGUCUCAUUGGCCAAGCUUGGUCAAAGACCACACCUAAUGCCAAGGAGGUUGGAAAGCUGUUGUAAAUGGUACCGUUGUUUACAUUUUAGUUCUUCAUUUGAUAUGUAGAUAUACAAUUAAUCUGUUUCAAUGUUGACUUUAUAUUCUGUGACCUAACUAAAUUUACUUGUUCUAGUAAUUGAUUAUAGACCAUUAAAAAUUUUCUACAUAGUCCUCUUUAAAAAGAAAAUAUUUGAUCUUUUUCUUAUGAUCAUAAUGGCUUUUCCUUGUGUUUUGAGUACCAUGUUGAAUGGAAGUGGUAAGAGUGGAUAUCCUUGCUCUGUCACUGACUAUAGGGAGGAAACAUUUAGCGUUUCAUUCCUGAGUGUGAUGUUGGCUGUAGGUGUUAUAUUGAUGCAUUUUCAGACAGAGGAAAUUCCCUUCUACUACUAGCAUGCUGAGUGUUCGCUUCUUCAUAAAUUGAUGUAGGAUUUUAUUAAAUUUUUUUGUGUAUAUUUAAAGAAUCGUGUGAUUUUUUCCCUUUGUUAUGUAAAUAUGGCAUAUUUUAUUGAAUGGUUUUCAAUCUUAAACCAACUUUGCAUUCUGGGCAUAAACUCCAUUUAUUCAUGAUAUAUUGAUUUAUUAAUAUUUUGCUAAGGAUAUUUGCAUGUAUGUUCAUUAGACGUACUGGUCUAUAGUACCCUUUCCCUGUAUUAUCUUUGUUUAGUGUUGGUAUUGGAGAAAUGUUGGAUCCAUAAAAUAAGUUGAAAUAUUUCUACUCCUUUUUCUGAAAGAGAUUGUGUAAGACUGCUGUUAUUUUUUUCCUUAAAUGUUUGAUAGAAUAUGCUAAUAAAACCAUCUGGACCUGGAGACUUGUUUUUGAGAAACUUUAAUAGUUAAUUUCUUUUAUAGAUAUUGGCAUUCACAUUUCAUAUUUCUUCUUGUAUCAGCUUUAAUAAGUUAUAUUAUUUAUAGACUUGGUUCAUUAUAUCUAAAUUGUUUAAUUUAUCAUAAAGUUCAUAGUAUUUGCUUAUCCUUUUAAUGUUUUUCAUUCCUGAUAUUGGUAAUUUGUGUUUUUAUUUUCUUGAUUAGUAUACCUAGAGUUUAUCAAUUUUUAAGUCUUUUAUUAGAACCAAGUUUUCAUCUUCAUUUUCUGUUUUUGUAUUUUCUCUAUUAGCCUUCAUUAAUUUACUCAAUUUCAUAAAAUUAUUCUCUUAUAGUCUACUUGCUUUGGGUUGAUUUUAUUCUUUAAUAGCUAUUUAAAUGGAACUUUUGGUUUAAGAGGUUUCCUCCUUUCUAAGAUAAACAUUUAUAGCUAUAAUUUGCCUUUGAGCUGCUAAACUGUUUUCGGUGCAUCAUACAUGUUUUAAUAUGCUUGAUCGAUUAAUUGGCCUCCCUGGUGGUUCAGUGGUAAAGAAUUCAUGUGCAAUGCAGAGGAUGUAGGUUUGAUCCCUGGGUCAGGAAGACUCCCUGGAGAAGGAAAUGGCAACCCAUUCCAGUAUUCUUGCAUGGAAAAUCCCAUGGAUAGGGGAGCCUGGUGGGCUACAGUCCAUGGGUUCUCAAGGAGUUGGACAUGACUUAAUGACUAAAUAACAAGAAAAUUGAUUGACUGGUAGCAGGUUGCAUAAGCAAGGGGACUUAUAAGUCUUGUCUUGGGCAGCUGCAAAAUGCA